rnacentral:rRNA from 1 species
GCACAACGCGAAGAACCUUACCCACCUUUGACAUGUACGGAACUUGCCAGAGAUGGCUUGGUGCUCGAAAGAGAACCGUAACACAGGUGCUGCAUGGCUGUCGUCAGCUCGUGUCGUGAGAUGUUGGGUUAAGUCCCGCAACGAGCGCAACCCUUGUCAUUAGUUGCUACAUUCAGUUGGGCACUCUAAUGAGACUGCCGGUGACAAACCGGAGGAAGGUGGGGAUGACGUCAAGUCCUCAUGGCCCUUAUAGGUGGGGCUACACACGUCAUACAAUGGCCGGUACAAAGGGUUGCCAACCCGCGAGGGGGAGCUAAUCCCAUAAAGCCGGUCGUAGUCCGGAUCGCAGUCUGCAACUCGACUGCGUGAAGUCGGAAUCGCUAGUAAUCGUGGAUCAGAGUGUCACGGUGAAUACGUUCCCGGGUCUUGUACACACCG